UCUCUCUCAAAAACAAGGAAAAAAAAAUUUAAAAACCAAAUCAAAUUAAUAAAAUUAGAAAAAAGAAGCGAGAAAGCCACACUGAAAUUCAAUGUGCUCAUUGGGGUAAUGGAAACCAUGUAGGAUCAGGGGAUUGACUGAGGACCUGAGUUUGGAGUUGCUUAUUAGCUACAUAGAAAUGUGUAGCCAUAUAGAAUUUUUCACGUUGAGUUAUUGUGAUUGUGAUAGCCCAAAAGCUAUGCGGCCAAAA